rnacentral:rRNA from 1 species
AGCGAACGCUGGCGGCAGGCCUAACACAUGCAAGUCGAACGAACUCUUCGUAGUUAGUGGCGGACGGGUGAGUAACACGUGGGAACGUGCCUUUAGGUUCGGAAUAACUCAGGGAAACUUGUGCAAAGACCGAAUGUGCCCUUCGGGGGAAAGGUUUAUCGCCUUUAGAGCGGCCCGCGGCUGAUUAGCUAGUUGGUGAGGGAAAGGCUCACCAAGGCGACGAUCAGUAGCUGGUCUGAGAGGAUAAUCAGCCAAAUUGGGACUGAGACACGGCCCAAACUCCUACGGGAGGCAGCAGUGGGGAAUCUUGCGCAAUGGGCGAAAGCCUGACGCAUCCAUGCCGCGUGAAUGAUGAAGGUCUUAGGAUUGUAAAAUUCUUUCACCGGGGACGAUAAUGACGGUACCCGGAGAAGAAGCCCCGGCUAACUUCGUGCCAGCCGCCGCCGUAA